GCCAGGCUCUGGAGGGUUUUUCUUUGUCUUAAAACCUAGAGGAUGGGCCAGUCAUAACCCACAAGGAGGAUGUUUUCUAGCAGUUAGCAAGUGACAAGAAGAGUUUAAAAUCCUGGAGUGAAAUUAAAGGCCCAUAAGGAAGAAAAAAAAAGUAAAUGAAAAUGACCAGCUGGUCAUUAGUCACCAGGAGUUGUCUGACCUGGGGGUACGGGCAGUCUUACUGCUAUUAUGAACUAUACAAAUGUGAAGAAGAAAGCAAUUACCUCCUUUAGACCCUGAAAAGUUAAUGUUGAACUUCCUGUUGCCAUGGACACGCAGAGUGGUCUUUCGGUUGUUCAGUAACCGAUAGAGCAGCAUUCCUCCCACAGCCAUGGACGAGGCUCUCUCCUCAGCGUACGCUUCCCUGGCAGCGUUCAUCUGCAUCAUCUCGAAGUGCAGUGAGCACAUGAAGCCCUCACCAGCUUCCUCAUGGGUCUGCAGACAAGAUGAAUGCAACUCUGUCACACAGCUAACCGUCAGGAACCAGGCGAGGCCCGCAGCCUGCUUGUGUGGGGUUUCUGGGAUGGAACCCUAGGCUGAGGAGCUAGGCAAUGGUCCCAGACUCCGGCAGAAGUUUCUGUGUGCCGUUUCCUACAAAAGUGGGUGAAAGUCAAGUGCAAGAAUUCAUGACAGAGUGAUCAAUGGAAGCAAAAGCACACUGAUGCAUGAACUUGAAAAGCAGUUUCCUCUCCCAGUUAAUAAGCAACAAGAUUUUGUUGUCAGACUGGCAAACGGUCUGGCUUGUGAGACUGCCCACAGUUUUCUUCCACAGCCUGGAGCCUGUGGCGUGCGCACGCACAAGGUGGAGGUGCGCGAUCGCAAGUGUGCCUUGGCUACACGGCACAUGCAGACAUAUACCCACGUAAGGUCCUGUUUGCCAAACUCAUAGUGAUUUAUGUAAUUAUGCCCAGAAUGUAUUUUACCAAACACACAA